CAAAGUGUAGCUUAAUCAAAGCAUCUGGCCUACACCCAGGAGAUUUCAUUACUUAUGACCACUUUGA
rnacentral:tRNA from 1 species